ensembl:lncRNA novel transcript
CCCUUUAAUGAGUUCUUGUUUUCCUGACUGCAGCUCUCUUCAUUCUGCCAACCUUUUCCAACUCCAUGAUGAUCCUGCAGGUUUCAGGGGGCCCCUGGACAGUGGCUCUGACAGCAUUACUGAUGGUGCUGCUCAUAUCUGUGGUCCAGAGCAGGGCCACUCCAGAGAAUUCCGUCUACCAGGAACGGCAGGAAUGCUAUGCGUUCAAUGGGACUCAGCGCGUUGUGGACGGGCUCAUCUACAACCGGGAGGAAUACGUGCAUUUUGACAGCGCAGUGGGGGAGUUCCUAGCAGUGAUGGAGCUGGGGCGGCCCAUAGGCGAGUACUUCAAUAGCCAGAAGGACUUUAUGGAACGGAAGCGAGCCGAGGUGGACAAGGUGUGCAGACACAAGUACGAGCUGAUGGAGCCACUCAUCCGGCAGCGCCGAGGAGACGUAACCAUAACUGCUGUUAGGGGGUGUUGGACGACGAUUCUUUCUGGCUACUUCCUGCUGAAAAGGGGCGUCGUGUUGGGGGGCUGCAGUUGGGGCUCCUCCUGAGGUUGAUCUAAGGCUUCUUGGAAGAAUGGCAUGUCCAUGUGUGGCUUUGUUUGCAGCACCAUUUGAAGUUUGAUUGCUUCUAGGCAAAAAGAGAUAAAUUUUACAAGAAGGUUUAAAAUAUAGGGUUACCAUAUGAGUAUUAAGAUUACCACCUAUAGACUGUAACUAUGACAGUAGAGUUUGAUACCUGUUACACCAAUGGAUUGUAAUACUGGUUUGUCUCCACUAGAUGUCGCUGUACAUUACCAGAAACGUUAAUAUAAAAGCAUCAUUUCCUUUGAGAAAAACAUGUUUCCCCCUUGACUUGCUAUUAGGGCAUAAUUUUUGGUUUAGGCCAUUCUUUAUAACUUAUGAUAUGAUUGGGAGAAAAACGUUAUUGGGUGGCUAAAAUAACUUUGGUGUUAAUCUUGGCAAUUCCUUUCCUUUAAUUAUUAAAUUUCUUAAUUAUUAAAUUCUUUCAUGACUUUCACAGACCCUCUUACAAUGUACUCAACUUUCUGACUUGUCUUAAACAACCAGUCAUUUCCUUUUAGGACAAGAAUUUACUAUACAAGAUCCUUUCUUAUAUAAAAUCCCUUUAUUUGUAACCUUCUUUCCAUAGCUUAGAGUGCACCAUUUACCAAUCUUCAAUAAAAAAGUCCUAUCAAACU